GGAGGUUGGCUUAGAAGCAGCCAUCCUUUAAAGAAAGCGUAAUAGCUCACUGGUCGAGCGGCUCGGUGCCGACAAUAUAACGGGGCUUAAGCAUGAUACCGAAGUUACGGAUUCGUUGGAUAAGCGCGCAAGCGUGGACCGGCGAAUGGUAGGAGAGCGUUCUCAACCGCUGUGAAGGUGUACCGAAAGGAGCGCUGGAGCGUUGGGAAGUGACUCUGCCAGCAUAAGUAGCGAGAAACCACGUGCGAACCGUGGUCGCCGUAAGUCUAAGGAUUCCUGAGAAAGGUUAAUCCGCUCAGGGUUAGUCGGAGCCUAACGCGAGGCCGAAAGGCGUAGCGGAUGGACAGCAGGUUAACAUUCCUGCACUACCUUAAAUCGAUCAAGACCGAUGGGGGGACGCGGACCGUAAGCCUUGGUGCGCAAUGGUUACAAUCCAGGGUGAAGGGAGAUCCGGAGAGGCAAAUCCGCCGGGUCGUCCGCCAGGAAAAUCCUCUAAGGAGGUUUAAGGUAUCCGUACCACAAACCGACACAGGUGGACGAGAAGAAUAUUCUAAGGCGCUCGGGUGAUGGUAUGUUCAGGAACUAGGCACAUUAGCUCCGUAACUUCGGGAGAAGGAGUGCCCACCUAAGACGUGGGCCGCAGUGAAUAGUCUCAGGCGACUGUUUAACAAAAACACAGGUCUCUGCAAAGUCGAAAACGACGUAUAGGGGCUGACGCCUGCCCGGUGCCGGAAGGUUAAAGGGAGAGGUUAGCCGCAAGGCGAAGCUUUGAACUGAAGCCCCGGUGAACGGCGGCCGUAACUAUAACGGUCCUAAGGUAGCGAAAUUCCUUGUCGGGUAAGUUCCGACCUGCACGAAUGGCGUAACGAUCUGAGAACUGUCUUAACCUGCCGCCCGGCGAACUUGUGGUCCCGGUGAAGACGCCGGGUGCCCGCCACUAGACGGAAAGACCCCGUGCACCUUUACUAUACCCUUUCAUGGAACUAUGGGGCGGUCUGCGCAGGAUAGGUGGGAGGCUUUGAAUCCGGGUUCUCGGACUCGGAGGAGCCAACGGUGAGAUACCACCCUGAUCGUUCUGUGGUUCUAACCUCCACCCGUAAUCCGGGUGAGGGACAGUGGAAGGCGGGUAGUUUGACUGGGGCGGUCGCCUCCUAAACGGUAACGGAGGCGCGCGAAGCUAGGUUCAGGCGGUUUGGAAAUCCGCCGACGAGUGCAAAAGCAUAAACCUGGUUAACUGCGAGACCAACAAGUCGAGCAGAUACGAAAGUAGGCUUUAGUGAUCCGGUGGUUCUGUAUGGAAGGGCCAUCGCUCAACGGAUAAAAGGUAC
rnacentral:rRNA from 1 species